CUUUAGUUAAGGAAUCAUUAUUUACUUUUUUCUUUUUGAUUUCUAAUUUUUAGGGGGAUAAGCUCUUAUUUUUAUUAUAAUUUUUUUUUUAUUUUUUAUUUGUAGGAUUAGUAUUUUCCAACAUUUUAAUUUUUUAAAAAAUUGUUUUUUUAUUGUUUUUUUAUUUAAUUUUUUAUUGGGCUUUAUUAUUAAACUUUUUUUAUUUUAACAAUGAUUUAAUUAGUAAAAUUAAAACUUUUUUUUAUGAACUCGGCAAGAUUUAUUUUCGCCUGUUUAUCAAAAACAUGUCUUCUAGUUUUUUUUGGAGGUCUGGCCUGCUCAAUGAUAAUUUUAAAUAGCCGCAGUAUUUUAACUGUGCAAAGGUAGCAUAAUAAUUAGUCUUUUAAUUGAGGUCUGGAAUGAAUGGUUAAACGGAAAAUACACUUUAUUUAUUAAAUUUUUUUGAAUUUAUUUUUUGAGUUAAAAUUCUCAAAUUUUUUAAAGGGACGAUAAGACCCUAUAGAUCUUUAAAAUAUAUUAUUUUUUUUUUUUUUUGUUGUUUUUAAUAAAAGUUUUUUUGUAUUUUUUGGUUGGGGGAAAAAAAAAAAAUUUAACCUUUGUUUUUUUUUACCUUUUAUUUAGGGUUUUUGGAACCCUUUAUAAUGGAUUUAAAAAAAAAAAACCCUAAGGGAAAACCGCGUUAUUUAUUUGGAGAGUCCUAAUCAAAAAAAAAUUUUGCAACCCCAAGGUGGAAUUAAUUUGUUUGUGGGGGGGAGG
rnacentral:rRNA from 1 species